rnacentral:rRNA from 1 species
GUUAACGUGAAGCUCGGGCUUGCCGGGUGGAAGUGGCGAACGGGUGCGUAACACGUGAGCAACUGCCCGAAGACGGGAUAACACCGGGAAACCGGUGCUAAUACCGGAUGCCCUCAUCAUGUCGCGUGGCGAGAUGAGGAAAUGGAUUCCGCUUCGGGAUGGGCUCGCGGCCUAUCAGCUUGUUGGUGGGGUAACGGCCUACCAAGGCAACGACGGGUAGCUGGUCUGAGAGGAUGUACAGCCACACUGGGACUGAGACACGGCCCAGACUCCUACGGGAGGCAGCAGUGGGGAAUCUUGCGCAAUGGGCGAAAGCCUGACGACAGCGACGCCGCGUGCGGGAUGAAGGCCUACGGGUUGUAAACCGC